AUGAAUGAGCUAGGAUCAAAGCAGGUGAAGGGGCCGCCCGGCGGCCCGCUCGUCUUCAAGAUUUCCAGUAGGGUGCGGACGCGGCUCCCCAGCAUGGUGUUCCACUUCGCGGAUGGCGGUGACAUGUGGUUCACGUCGGGGAAGCUGUUUCAGUUUAGUGGCACGACAGCGCGGUUCUCGGUCGAGGGCCAUGGGUCCCACCGGACGGUGAUUGGCGCCGCGCAGCAGGUGAAUGCACGGUUCAUCUUCAACGUCGCUGCGGGGAGGCUGACCUUCGCAGAGGAGCUGUGCAGCAGGGAGGCGGCGUAG
rnacentral:rRNA from 1 species